rnacentral:piRNA from 1 species
GCUCAAGAAAGUGGUGAAUAGUGACAGC